GUUGCAACUUCUGCAUGAAACCGCUCUAAAUGGAAUUUGAUGGAGCAGAACAAUCCAUUCAUUGGUGAGGGGGUGUCCAACCCCAGACAAUCCUGUCCCUAGACAACAACCCUUCUCUCUCUCCUAAAAGAUAUACUCCCUGAACUGAAACCACAUUAUUCAUAUCCGAACAUAGGAUUGCCAUCGCUUGGGGACAUCCCCUGAGGGAAUUUAUUUGAUCUGUAGUGUAGGCGCGUCAGUUUAUCCUUCCGAAAAUAAAAGGGACUGCAGGCAAAUAUGAGUUGUUGUGAUUGCCAUGAGAUUCAUCAAGUUGAGUCGGCCAGUAUAGAUUUUAAUUGGUAGACGAACCUCGUCCUAACGUGUGGGACAACGGCAUGAUGCCCGACGGUCAGGUCCAUCCUGGACUUGAAAUUCACACAUACCAUAGCCCGUCACAUGCAUUGGACACUUGAAUUCAAUUAGUAUUUGCAAACCUAUGAUUAUCGGUAGGGUCACUAUCAACCGUUUCAGAAACAACUAUAUAUUUGUGGAUGGAGUUAGUUGAACCGCUCAUGCCUACUCAAAUCAAUCAGAGUAUUGCUCACCAAAGGCUGCAAAAGACAAAUAUAAUUGCUUGCCACAGGAAAGAUGACUUCCUGAUUACAGUUAGGAAUAAAUAAUACAUUUCAACUAUUAGUUAACAUAUGUUAAUUAAGGAAUAGUAAUUACUAAAGGGUUGUUCAACCCCAAACAACUCUAUGGACGCAACCCUCCUCUCUCUUAACAUCUCGUUUAAGAUAUGAACUUCGUUUAAGUCUCUAAAUUUUUGACCUUAACUUCGUUUAAGAUUAAUGGGUUGCAAAUGCACCAACCAACGGCCAACCCUCCUUCACAUGGUCAUGGCUCACUCCUUUAAAGGACACAGAUGCACGAAAAGUGCAAAUGGAGGACAUAAGCAUUGCUGGACUUAAAAAAAACAUAGUUCCAUAUUGAAAAAAAAAACAAAAGUAAAUGCAUACACAAUAAGUUAUAUAACAUGUUCAUGAAAAUUUUCAUAACAAUAUACCUUCAUACGUGACAUAGAGAAAAAACAAAACAAAUACAUACAUGCAAAUGGGCAAUUUUCUUUUUGUUCAUGGGUCGAAUCUUUGUUUUUGUGAAUCUUGCAAAUCUAAAUAUUUUUUAAACAAAAUUUUACAAAUCCCCUACGAAUAUGUAUAAGUUACAACUGACUUUUUUACGGUUAUUUGUGAACUUAGAAAAUUUAUUUUUGAAUCAUUUGAAAUAAAGUUGUCCAAUGCCUUCGUCCACCAAAACAUCACUCUCAUAGAUGCAACUUCUCCUUGUUUUACGUGUGGGCUAUUUUUAUGCACCCAGUAUUACUCCCUUCGGUUCAUUCAAAAUCAAUUAUGGACAUUCUUUAGUUAGACACUCAAACUGCCUUCUUGCUAUCGUCUUCAAUAUUUAGUUUCAAAUUUUCGUUCUGUCUCAAAAAUUAUUUUAAUAACGAUGGUAUUAAAUUAUAUGCGACCAUGAAACUAUUGGCUAAAUUUGCAUUUUAGAGGGUGAACAAACAUGUGGUUGGAUGGUUAGCAGGACAAUGGUAUCCUCAACUAAUUAGGUUUGAGCCAUAGAGUUGACACCGAUGAUCGUAUUAUUCUAGAUUUACUCUAGGCCUGCUGGCAAUGUGCGUUCAGUGCGAGGAAACAUUCCAAUCGACUACGAGGAUGUCUAUGGCGACUUCGUCAAAAUCAAGAUGAUGUGUUGGCUACAACUCUCAAAGGUACUUAUAGGCGUGUGUGUGCCUGCGUUCCAAGGGGUGAGUGUAUGUGCGUAUGUAUGGGAGUGUGCAUAUGUACUCUGUUAAAAAGAAUUACAUCCUAAAGGACACAUUAUUUUCAAACAUAUCAUGGUUCUUACUGAGGAAAUAUGUAGCAAUACCCAAACCAACACGAAGGGUGGCAAGAUCCAGUAGAGAUAGAGCACUAACAAAUGAACAAAGUAUGUUACAUCCUAUCCCAUCUCCUAAAUCCAUUUUCUAUUAAGAUCCUAACUUUUUUUCUCAAAUUAUACUCAAUAACAAUUCUUUACCUAUUUUGUUACUGGUUGUAUUUGUUGCAAGAUCAUGUUAUUCUGUUCUUUUACGAUUUAAGUACUAAUACGUUCACCUUCUUUCACUUUUCCCUCCAUAAAUAUUCUUUUAGUGCUGCCAUAACAUUUCAUCUUCUUAUCAGGCUAAAUUACAUGUAGAUCCUACAAUUCAAUAUUGAAUCCUGCUUUUGAGAAUUCAACAGAAUAAACUUUGGAAAGAACUUGCACAAGUGUGAUAUGGUAAAUACAUUUUUCGAAUCCAUAAUCUCAUUUUAUUCUCUCUAUAGAACAUAUAGUUUCUCCUCUCUACAUGUUUAGAUCACUCUCUAUUCGAAACAGCUCUAUUUCCCAAGAGUUGAUUCAUUCCAUUGGACCUUCUUCUGCCUCACUAAUCCCUCUCAAACAAUGCAUUUUUGUUGGCUCAUCAAGUUGCUUUGUUCAACAACAAAUCAAAAAAUUAGUGUCAAUAUGGUUCGCUAUUUUUUUCUAUUUUCCAUUUUUGAAUUUUCUACUAUCAUAUUUGGGUACUAGUGGCAGUGAUGCCUUAUACUUUUGUCUACUAGGUCGAGCUUGGAAGGAAGUUUCCGUAUACCUUUUUCUGAAAUACAGAGCACUUUUUUCCUGAUCGUUCAAUACGAGAUCGGUGAUAUGCAAGAUGGAUAAAAUUAUAGCAUGGACAUAUAAGACUUAAUGUUUUUCCACUGCUCGGUGCAGUGGAAAGUCUGCCAUUUUGCAUCAUUGUCGCAUACCUCAAAUGAAUGUUACUAUUUACUUGCUUCAGACGGCAAAAUAUGUUUUUUUGCAUCUGCAAACACCCAACUUUGUGUGUGGUGCUAUCUAUUGUUCUUUUCCUCCACGGGUAGUACAAUAUUUGCAUCAGAAAUUACAUACAAGGAUGUGAUAAGGAAUAAUAUUUAGGUAGGGAAUCUGAAAUAUUUCCGAAAAUAUAUUUUCUUGGAGUUCCAUUCACCUUCUGUAUUUUCCUAGAAUGGUUGGUUCAUUAACUAUUGAGCUUCAAUAGAAUGUUGAUUGAGUAUCCUGUCUAUUUCCUUUAAUAAUUGAAGCACCAUCUCGGUUAUUUAAUAAAACUGAUGCAACCUCGAGUCUAAAUAACUAGUGUAUACAUUCAAGAUUAUCUUUUCCUAUUGUAUUUAUAGAGGUUUAGCCAUCUAUAUUAUAUCUUGUCUAAUUAACCUUUGAUCUUUUACAUUCCUAGAAUUAUCAGCAUUUUUUAGUCCAUGAUUUUUGUUAUUUCUCAAAACAUAACAUUUUUUCACACGAGCAAACAAUUUCUGAAUUUCACGAGCAUCUUUUGAAUCCAAGAACAGUUUUAGAAUAUCAUAAUAAUUCAUGAAUCCAAGGACAUGUUUUGAGCACCAUGAACAAUUUUUGAAUACAUGAACAAUUCUUAAAUUUUAAAGAAUUUUUUUAAUUUGAUUAACAUAUUUGGACUUCUUAUUUUUAUUUAAAGGAUUCCAAGGACUAUUUGUCAAUUUUAAGAACAAUGUUUCAUUUCGUGAACAUUUUCUAUUCCAAUUUUUUUUCCUCUCAUGAACAAUUAUAUGAAUUAUCUAAACAUUUUUGAAUCUAUGAAUUUUUUUUCAAUUUGUAAACACCUUUUUAAGUCCAAAGAACAAUGUUUCAAUUAUGCAAACACAUUUUGAAGUGUUAGAACAUUUAUUAACAUGACAAACAGCUUUGGAAUCCGACAAACAUUUUAAAAAUUCCAUGGACAACUACAAAAGUUCAAGAACAAAUUUUGAAUUCCGUGAUUGUCUAAUCCAAAAAUAUUUUUCAAUUCCAUGAUUUUCUAUGAAUUUAAGAACAAAUAUUGAAUUCCAAGAUCACAACUCGGUUUACAAUUUUGUUACUUGAAUCAACAAACCAAUAUCAAAUUCCAGGAAAAAUUAUUGAAACAAACAUAUUAUGGAUGCCACAAAUAUUUUGAAAAUUUCAGGAACAACUUUUUAAUUCAGUAUAAUAAUUGAAAUAUGUGGACAUAUUCUGGACCCACAAUUAUCUUCAAAAAUCUCUAGACAUAUUUUAAGUCAGAAGAGAAAUUCAAAGGAGAAAAUUUGGAAUUACAUGAACAGUUUUGAAUUUGCGGCACAUUUUUUGAAUCUGAAGCACAUAUUUUGAAUUAUGAUUUUUUUAACCCAGGAACAAUUCCCAAAUUCAAAGAACAUAUUUUGAAUUAAGGGUACACCACUUGGACCUGACGAACGCCAUUUGAAUUCAUGAAAUACAUCCCAUUUCCAAGAACAAUUUAUGAAUGUCGUGUACGGUUUUUCAAAUCGGAACAACAAUAUUUUAAGUUCUAAGAACAAUUUUUUAAUUACAAGUACAUUUUCGAAAUCCCAUGAACAAAUUUUGAACCACUCGAUGUAUUUCGGAUUCCAAGACCAAAUUUUGAAUCUUAUGAAUAAUGUUUGAAUACCACAUACAUUUCUGAAUUCUGCAAACAACUUUUGAGUUUUAGCACAAAUUUUUAUUGCUUUCUUUUAUCUGUUUCAACAUAUAUUUCAAAACUGUUUGCUUCUUUUGUUCUUCAAAGCAUUCGAAGAAAUACAGGAAGUAGAGUAUAUAGGAACCAGGAACAUGAACAAAGAAACCAACUUGAAACAAGAAUGAUGAAAACCAGAAAGAACGACCGUCCAAAUCGAANGAAUUCUGCAAACAACUUUUGAGUUUUAGCACUAAUUUUUAUUGCUUUCUUUUAUCUGUUUCAAAAUAUAUUUCAAAACUAUUUGCUUCUUUUGUUCUUCAAAGCAUUCGAAGAAAUAUAGGAAGUAGAGUAUAUAGGAACCAGGAACAUGAACAAAGAAACCAACUUGAAACAAGAAUGAUGAAAACCAGAAAGAACGACCGUCCAAAUCGAAGCAGAAAUAGGAACAAACAAACAAUUGAAGAAGAAAACCAGAAAUAUCUUGACCCAUGAAAAGCCCGCGAGUAGGACCUCCCUCCAGGUAAUAUAAAAAAACUGAAUGGGAACUAUGUUAUAAAUGCAGGAUUGAUUUCCACGAAAGCUGUUAAGGCAAUUGUAUUCUAGGAUCGAACUUUCGUUUUUACUAUAUAUAUAUAUAUAUAUAUAUAUAUAUAUUGUAACUUUUAUGUCCCUAUAAAUACAUGGGAUGUAGUCGAGUCUCUAGAUAAGAAAGUGCAAUGCCAAGUUAAGUUGGAGCCGAGCAUGCACUUCUAGCUAUUUUGGAAAUGGGAAGCAUUCAGGAACACAUUCCACACAUCAACAUGACUAUCCAUGGUGAGUUUGAUAUAAACUUGUCAAAAGCAUUGGUAGGCACAUGCAUACGACAACCACGAUGUACACUGGAUCAUGAGGAACCCACACAAUCCACACUUCGUUAAACCUAGAUCGUGGCCCCGUGUGUCGAGAUGGAAGUGAAACCACCAACUCCGGCCAACUGAAGCACGUCGAGUAUAUAGGUUGUACAUCUAGAAGUGUCUUGCUCUUUAUUCAUUCGAGUGUACAACGAUGCACGCUUCCAACAAGCACCAAUUUAAGCUUGAGAACAAUAGGAUAAGAUUGCGCCAAAUAAAAGUAACUGGUCCCGGGAAUUUCACCUAUCUACUUUUCCACUAUCACCUAUAUUAUGAGGGACUAUAACAUGUUAUUAGUAUAUCUACUUGAUGGUUAUAUAAUAUUGUCAUGUCAUGUAUAUUCAAGGUUAUAGCCCGCAAGUACGAUAGUUAGCUAUAAAGAUGUGCUAUUUUAUUUAUACGUGGCACAUCCUUCACUUUCACAUAGUGCCUAUGAGCACGUGUUGCAGGUGACUAUUCUAUAGUGGACUCCUCUUCUCUCUCCUCUUCUCUCCCUUCUAUGUCAUCACAAAAACAAUAUUUUAACUCUUAUAGCCUUCUCUUAGGGCCUGCUCCACUCGCUCUGAUAAUUAUAAAUUUGUGGCAUUCGGACUUUAUUUGCUAUGGAUUUUCUGGAAAACUAAAAAAGUGAAAAACAUAAAUUUGAAGUGGGUACUAGGUCAACAGGUUAGUCCAUAAAAAUCAUAUAAAUAUGACAUGAAUACUUUAUAAAUUAUGGAUACAUUGGAGAGAUAAUGUUUUAUGUUUGGUUAUUUUCUUAGAUUUUAUAUUUUUAUGGAUCCUCCAACAUGUGCUGCUUGUUCAUAACCUUUUGCUAGCCAAAACUUAGAACUAAGUAGAGAUACUAAUUGUGCAGCCAAAAUUUUUGGGCCAAGUUUAUUUCAUGUGUGUCCACCAUAUAUACCUAUAUACAUAAUUUCCUUUCCGUUCAAGUAAAUUUGUAAGUGCCAUGUAUAAAACGUUCAAAUAAAAAUAUGUUUUUUGUGCCCAUACCGCUCACGGAGAGACGAGCCGGUCAAUAUCUUCCAUGUUAAGCAGGCUAUUCUCAUGAUUGGUGUCUAUUUACUUGUCAUGUCAUGAGAGAGGAUGGUAAUUUGUAUGUCGAAUCCUGCUAAACAAUAAAUAAAUAAAAAUAAUUCAAAAAAGCCCCUAGAAAUUUGAUUGGUUGGAUGGCAUCCAUGAAUUCGGCUAGCCAUGACUUGUGUUUGUAUGAUUGAGGGGGACUAAAAUUUACAUUUCCACAUGUGAACCGCCGAUAAUGUGUUUAGCAUGGAGGAUAUUGAAAUCAUUUGUUGCAACAUUGAAAGGGAAAGCACACCACAAAAAUGUAUUCAUCUCUGUUUUAAGCAAUGAGAUCUGGCCCAUAAGUGAAUCCAUGUGUUCCCUCUGCGAAGGGCCUAUCUAUUUAUUUUUCAUGUUGAGUCAAGUUGUUAUUCCAAACUCAAUUAUUAUCUACUUGUCAAGCAUCUUGUGGUGGGGAAAGACUAUAUGAUCAUGACUUUUUUUGUUGACAAUUAUCUCUGCUAUAAGUAAGUUGGGAGGCGAAGCACUAAACCCCUACCUUCCUGUGUGUUCGAUGGAUUUUGUUUGUUCCGAAAAUAUGCUUUCAGUACUAGCAAUCAUGGAAGACUAUAUGAUAUUUGAGUAUUUCGACCUCUUACUUAGACUUAUCUGAAAGUAAUAUGAAUUGUAAUUAUUAGUGACCGAGAACAGAUGUUGUUAAUUUUCAAGAGAAUGCAUUAUUUGAACCAUAACAUAUGAAUUGAUUGCUACUUUAUCAUGAUAAAUUUUAUGAGAAAGAGUUGCUUAUACAGUAAGCUAGCAUUCACACUUAUACAGUAUGCUAGGAAAAGUGAUUGCAAUUAUCAUUGAUCAAACUUAAAAAGUACUACAACAUUCAAAUUCCAUAUAUUUUUACCAUUUACGUACUCGAGGACGAAUUGGAAUUAAGCAACAAAUAAAUGAUUUAAAUUACAGAUUGAAUUAUGUGUCAUCUGACAAAAUAUUAACCUCUCAAGAACAAAAGCUAAAUUCCACCAACCAUCGUUAAAUACAAUGGCUAUCUUUUAAAGUUCAUUGAAUAAUUGCCUCCUAUCGUGUGCAUAGUCUCUUAUAUACACCCUUAACAGUCGUAGACCUCUCUACCAGGCCAGUACCAACCAAGUCAACAUAUCUACUAUUAUGAUUUGGCAAAAAAAGAUACCGGUAUCAAGUGAGCAAACUAGCUAUGUGUACAACACGAAAAAACAAUUAUAUGUACCAAUUUGGAAGUUUUGUUGGUAUCAAGAGGCAUUCAGAACCAUAGUUGUGUCACCAUGCUCUAUUCUAGCAUAUAAGGAGCCGGCACUCCGGCUAGGGUAUAUAAUUGGAUGCCGAUGUGGAGAUGCAAGAGUUGUUUUCUUGUGAAAUGCUAGCAUUAAUUUCCUGCACAUGCCCAUAUAAUUUAGAAGAAUUUGCUUGUCCACUUUUAUCAAAUGCACAAACCAUUGACGAACUGUAGCACAUUAGUAAUCAGGCUUGAGAGACAGUUGUGAUACCAAGUAGUAUGAUACAAGAUCGGGUUAAAUGAUAGCAAAUGUAUCAAACAACCUUCCAUUCUCUAAACAAAAAUAAAAGGAUGCACAGCCUCGUACCCUACAUCAAUGUAAUCUUGUUGUGUACAUUUUUUUCUACAUUCUCCUACUCAUCUCUUCAUCUCAAAAUAACUAACAGCCAGGAAACUCAACAAAACAUACAUGAUCUAAAUGGACUAUACACUUAUAGAAAGAGAAAGAAAUGGUAAAUAGCAGAAUGUGAGACACCAGAAUGUCUCUUGUCCUUCUUGGUCAUAUGACAAAGGAUAAGGCUCGCAUGCAGCUUGAGGCCCCAAACCAUCCAAAUUACGGUCACAUCGCCCGGGAUACAUAAUGUGAGACACCAGAUACAUAAGCUCAAAUACAGUCAAACUAGGGCAUGCCGAAUCCGCAAAUCUUGGUUCUUACUCUGAAAUUCAGCUCUAUAUGUGAAGUGUGAAAAGGUUUCUUUCCAUAUUCUACAUCUGAUCGAUUUCAUUGUUGGGAAACUAGUUUAAUGCCAAUGGACCCACUUAUUAGAGAAUGAAAGGACAGGGAUGUGAGCCUAGUUCUGUUGGGAGUGGUUACAUCGGCUAUGCCCGCUUGGGAGGGUGAGUAGUCAGUUUUUUUAUUUGGAAUUUACAAUUUACAAAGUGUUUUCAUAUAGUUGCAUUUCGUGUACAAGUACUGAUAAAUUGCAUGGAGGACAUGAUUUUUUAUAUAGUUUUAAUUUAAACAAAGAGAUCAAAAAUUAUACAAGUGUCCAAACUGUACAUAUGCCCAUAUUUGUUUUAUAAAACUGCUCACAUAGGGACCUUACAAGUAUUUUUGACAUAGCAAAGAUGUGGUCAAGUUGUCGAGUUGUUCUUGUGAGAAAAAUGCAUGAGGGAAUUCAGUAUUGAGUUGUUUACCGUGCCACAAUGCCAAACUUUUGAUUAAACAUGGCCAAACUGGCAUAUACGAUGCACAACAUCGUACCCUACAUUACUGAUUGCUGGGUAGUGUUGUUUCUAUAGCACUAUGCAUAUAUGCUCUUGUCUAGCUAAGUAGUAGCCUAAAUACCAACGAAACUAACAUGGUCGGACAUGGUCGAGAUUUGGAAGAAAGAGAGAGCGAUGACCCACAGUCGCAAAAUGGCUCCUAUUCCUCGAACUCACACACAACUUAGGAGGCAAAGUUUCUCCAACAUGAAAAAGUAAAUUGUUUAUUUGUUCAUACACUUGCAAAAAUGAUAACUCGUCUUUCUUGGCCACUUUUAUGAUUGCAUCAUUUAAAAAGUCUCUCUUUAUGAACUAAGGGAGUCUGUUGUAGCAUCCAGCUACCUAGAAGAGAGUCAAGACCUGGAUACAACAUUAAAACAUUUCUGUUGCAGGCUUUGUUAAUUUAAUGUUUGGUUCCUUUCGAUCCUUUUUUCUAAAAUUUAAUACUUGUAGUAUUUAUAUAUUUUUCGAAAUGUUGGAUUAGAUGCUUGACCAUUAUAUGUGUGGAUUUAUUAUUAGAAAUAUAUUCAAUAAUACACCAGGUAUUAUACAAAUGUACAGUGUGGAACACAUGAUAAAAUUUACAACCUUAGAUGUUGUGUCGUUUGUGUGAAGUAUUGGAGUUUGCAGAAGAUGUGAUAAUAUGUCCACCAACCAUUCAUUAAACAUGCAUGUGGCCCUUAUAAAGCUCGUUGCAUACAUAUUUACUAUCAGGGAUUGUAGUCUCUACAUCUACCACAAAUGACCAAUGGAGGCCCGGCUCCAGUGAGCUCGUUUAAAAAAAGUUAUAUGGCACAAAAAUAUUUAAAAAAUGUACAUACACAAAUACAUGUUUAACAUUUCUGAGAAAACUUUCAGAACAAUAUACUUUCAUACGUGGCGUAUCCGUCAUGAAUAUGCAUAAGUUUGCACAAGAUUUAUUUAUUUAUUUUUUGAAACACGAAAAUAUCAUUUUUGGAGAUUUUGGAAAAAAGGGCUCCAUGGAGGCUGGCCUCCAAAAAUUCGCACCGAUACUUCUAGUUCCUCAUACCUAUCUUAGCUCCUUUAGGCUAGUAAACAGUAGCAGUAGCACUCAAUCCAACACGAAUGAAACUGUUAUUUGGGGAAUAAAAGAGUUAUGUAUGAUAGGAGCAAACUCAGUACUGAUUAGCAUUUGGACACGUAGAGUGAGUUGGGAAUCGGAGGCACUCGGGAGCACAUCAUCUACGGAAGCUUGUGCAUAUCCUAAUUUCUCCACCUGUUCUGGCAUGCCUCGCACUUGAAGACAAAGUGAAUACCAACAAAGAUGCCCCUUGGACAUGGUGGCAGCUGGGCAAGAGUCGCAGUACAACCUCUAUGCAAAUCGAAGGUAUACAACAUCCCAAUAGCUUUCCCCCUCACGUAUCGGUAUAAAAACACUUUCAGUUUUUUUUUGAAGCUCUGUAGGAAAUAUUUCAUAAACAUGUAGAAGCUGGAGUUGGAAGAAAUUUACUCACCACCGCCACUAGUAAAUGUAUAUCCCUUCGUGUAUUCAUUCUCAUCUAAUCAAAUAGAUCAUUUUCAUCAAAAGAAAUAUUUUUAAGCUGGAGCUAGAUGAAAGCCAAACAUUUUUUUGAAAGAGUUGCAACUUCUGUCUGAAACCGCUCUAAAUGGAAUUUGAUGGAACGAUACUGAUUUUGAUGGAGCAGAACAAUCCAUUCAUUGGUGAGGGGGUGUCCAACCCCAAACAACACUACUACAAAUACUAGCAUUAACGACCGUGCCUAAAAUCUCUUGGUCGUUGAACACCCGAGGAGAAUCCCGCGUGGUGGAAACCAAGUAUACGUACUAUUUUCAACAACCACCGCUUUGACCCGUCGCAAGCUGAGCAGUCAUUGUUGUUAUUGAUGGCUAGCAUGCACGUACAGCUCUAACAAACUCUCCUUCUUGUGUUUAAAAAGAAAAAAAGUCUCCUUUGUUUAUCUCUCCCCCGCAGACCUCCCAACAAAUCUUGGCGGGUUCUCCAAAUAUUGGCGCUAAAUCCUCCAAUCCCAACAAAUUUAAUCUCUUCCUAAUCCUAUAAGUUAGUCCUCCCCAUCCUCAGUUUUGCACAACCUCUCGAUGGAAGCCUCCAUGGCCGUCGUCCAGAGGACUGCUCCACCCAGUGCCUCUGAUGAACCACAUAAUUCCACCGGCCACUGCGACUCCGACCCAUUGGCUGUAGAUUUUUGUCCGGGUGAGUAUUUACUCUUUCCAUUGUGAUGUUAAUUACACUAAUUAGUUUCCUUGAUGGUUGAUUAUGUUCCAUUAUUCUGUAGGCUGCAAAGAUGGCGUUGGUGCAGGCUCAGUACAGAUACACUUGAUGGAGCAGGCGAAUUCCAUGGUUGAGGUUGUUUCCCAUACUUUGGAUGGAGAGGUACAUGAUUUAUCUUACAUUCUCCUUCAGAUUCAAUAUAACUUGAGGUAAAAGUGGAGUUGUUGGUUAAUUCUGCUACUCAUUAGAUGCAGAAGAAGGUGCAAGGAGCCACCAUGGUUCAGUUUGUUCCAGAUACAAUUAAUCAGGAGGCAGAAGAAUCUCCAGAUGAAGAACGGAGCAGUGAUGUGUCGAUAAUUGAUGUGGAUGAAGACUCUAUUGAGUAUCUACGACGGCAAGUUGUCAAAGAUUCUGAGGGGAAAACAACCAAGAUGAAAUAUACCAGAAGAUCAGGAAGGAAUUUAAUGAAAGAAGCGCUAGCGAUGCUGCAUUGAGGAGGGAAGCAAGAUCCAGGAAUGCACCCAGGCAUAAGAGGAAUGUGAACAAAAUACGUAGAGACUUCAUACAAAUUUAUAUCCCUGACUAUUACAAGAUCAUGGAAAAAAAAUAUUGUAUUCUAAGGAACAAUAUUAUUGUUUGUUUUGAGUUAGGGUCAUUGUGAGCACAAUUCAAGAUUAGUGCCUUUAUUUGUAACAUUUGUUAUUGUUAUUCCUAUGUCAGCCUAUGAACAAGUGAUUGACUUUCAGAUAUUUUCCUUUUAUCCGUAACUGGAUCUUCAUAUCCCCAGACUUGUAUUAUAAGAUAUACGAAUGGGCUUGGAAAUAGGCAUUGUAUUUUGGCGAUGUCAUGAACAUGUGCUUCACCGAUGAAUUUUAUCUGCACCAGUACCUUCAGAUCACAAGUCAUUUUGGAUGGCAAAGCAUUAGAAUGUUAGGUUAAACCUGACUGUGGUGAAAUAAUUGUUAUUGCAAUGUCAAGUGAUUGUGAAAGAUCGUUGCAACUUACUGCAGGUUCAGUGCAGGUGUGUCAUCAGUGUACGUGUUGGCUAAGCUAAGUUCAGUCUUUUGUGUGCAUUUGUUGCAGCAAAGGCAAGUCGGUUGCUUGCAAUGCUAAGAAACUUGUAGAAAUAGGAGUUGUACCAUUCAUUGCUUGGAUCAGUCAAUGUAUAUUGUUACUGAAAGAAGAAAAAAGAAAAAGAAAUCCAUUGUAUAAAAAUUUUGUGCUUCUGUACUUGAAACUGAACCUGCUACUGUUUCCUCUGUUUCAUGUCUGUCCAAGUAUACUGAAACCACCAGGCAUGCGCUCUUCUUUUUUAAUAUAUGAACAUACAUUUGUGCUUGAUUCAGUUAGCUUAAAAAAGUAAAGCUAGACGUACAUGUAGGUAUAGGCCGUGCCCUUCAAAAGUUGAGAUACGCAAGUUUUUUUAUAGAUCAAAUCCUCAAGUUUUGUACCACAAACGUAGGCAAUAAAUAUUUUUGGUUCUCGACUGAAGGAGCGGGAGGCCUGAAUAUUUUUUGGCGCAAAGUGCUGGCGAUUUCCUCUAGAUAACACUCCGUAACAGAAAUUGACAUAUUUAAUCUGUUAGGAUCUCAUCUCCCUGCGCCUCCUUCUCCUCUCCUCCCCAAGCUCGCUCAAUCCACGAGUCCAUAGAUCGCAUCUCCCUUCUGUUCUCCACCUAUCCGCGCUGCAGACCGCACCUGGUCGGUCGCCUCGUCCCCGACGCGUAAGCGAUGCUGCCUGCUUGUGGCCGGUAGCCUCGACCGGGUACUCCGGCGCUGCCGCCGGCACAUCGCCGGUCGCCUCAACCCCAGCGCACGCCUGGAUUGCCACCUCCACUUCGCCGGUUAGCCUCGACCCUAGUGCACCCGCGCUGCCGCCUGCACUUCACCGUCCGCCCACGCAACUCCGCUGCAGGUUUGUUCGUUGAACCCCUUGCUCUGUUUUUUCUAUUGCGGGAUAUUCAUGCUCUGUUGUUGAUACUGAUUACCAAAUAUGUAUGUAAAAUUUUGUUUCCUUUAUUAUGAUUCAAAAUUCUGAAACGCCAUUAUCAGUACAAACCAUUCAUCUAUAGAUCAUACACAAUAAAUAUGAUUUAUUCUAUAAUCUGACAUGCCUUACAUCGGAUAACAUAAAUGCAGGAUAACUACGAACUAAAACAGUAAUAUAUAUUAGAGAUGGCUCCAAGUAAGACAUGGAUGAGACUAGUUGAUGAGCGAUUAAAUGAGGAAUACCUAGAAGGGGUAGAGAAUUUCCUCGACUACGCGUUCAGCCAUGUGGGCAGGGAAAAUGAAAUUCGAUGUCCAUGCAUCAAAUGCUGCAACACAUACUAUCAUUCUCGUGAAUUGGUUUCUGCCCACCUGAAAGUGUAUGGAAUUCUCAAAAACUAUACCUUUUGGUACCAUCAUAGUGAAGUUGUGAGGGAACCUCAAACGGUUUCUGAAGGUGAAGGCGAUGAAGAAAUACAAGUAGAGAGUGCAGAUGGAUAUGACCCGAUGCAGGAUUUGUUGCAUGAUAUGUUUCCUCAAAAUAAUAAUCCAAGUGAGCAAACAAUGACACCACCAUCUAACGAGGAGGAACCAAAUAAUGAAGCAGCAAAGUUCUAUAAAUUGCUUGACAACUAUAACCAGCCACUUUACCAAGGGUCUAAUACCACAAAAUUAUCUGCACUAGUUAACUUGCUUCACAUUAAGAAUAUGGGAAAGUGGAGCAACAAGUCCUUCACCAUGUUGUUGGAAUAUUUGCGGUAGGCUUUCCGACCACAGAACUCUACUUUGCCAAAUUCUUAUUAUGAAGCGAAAAAAACUAUUCAGGAACUAGGACUAAGUUAUAGGAAAAUUGAUGCUUGCACGAAUCAUUGCAUGCUCUACUGGAAAUAAGAUAUAAAUGCAGAGUCAUGCAAGGUGUGUGGAGCAUCUAGAUGGAAGGAAGACAAGCGCAUAGGCACCACUCUGCACUCCGCAAAAGCGGUAUUUUCCAUUAAAGCCAAGGCUGCAAAGGAUGUUAAUGUGCCACAAAACUGCUGAAUCCUUUAGGUGGCAUGCUGAGGGCAGGGUAGAUGAUGGUGUGAUGAGAUGCCCUGCUGACUCAAAAGCUUGGAAAUAUUUUGAUGAAAAAAACUCCUCGUUUGCAAAAGAAAUUCGAAAUAUUAGGUUUUGUCUCUCUUCUGAUGGCUUCCAACGAUACAAAACCAUGCGAACAUCUUAUAGCAUUUGGCCUGUAUUCAUUGUUCCCCUAAAUUUUCCCCCAUGGAUGUGCAUGAAACAAGAAAAUGUGAUGUUGUCCAUGUUGAUUCCAGGGCCUGAUGGUCCUGGUGAUGCAAUUGAUAUUUAUCUGCAACCACUUGUAGAGGAACUUAUUGAACUUUGGAACGAUGGUGUUGACACUUAUGAUGCAUCAACGAAAACAAGUUUCACACUGGGUGCAGCACUUCUGUGGAUGGUCCAUGACUUCCCUGGUUAUGCCAACCUUUCUGGAUAUAGCACAAAAGGAAAAUUGGCUUGUCCAGUAUGCCACAGUGGGACUUGUUCAUUAUGGCUUAAAAAAGGUGGGAAGUUCUGUUACAUGGGUCAUCGACGCUUUCUUCCUAAAAACCAUAGGUGUAGAUGAAUUAAUGGGUAAUGAAAAUCUGGAAAGUGAAGAAUUCCAGGGUAGCCAUGUCUUUGUAGCUACCUCAAAGACUAGUAAGCAUAACAAUGCAACUGGAUUAGUUGAUGAAAAUAUGGAAACUGACGAAGUGCAGGGUAACAAUGACGAACCAACUACAUCCAAGACUAGUAAGCUCAACAAUGGAAAUCAAUUACUUGUUGCUUCAUUUCGACUGCUACAAUUCAAAUUUUAGCUCAAAUUUUUUUUCCUUUUUUCGUACUUGAUUAACACAUGUCUUUUGAGUGGUGCAGGACCUCAAAAAGGUGAAAAGCGCAGGGUCCGUGGGAAGAAUAAAUGCAAGGAAGUAGCUGAUCUCAUGGAGUCCCAAAAACUUAAAGUUCAGUUUUACAAUAACCGUGCUCUUUCCAAAAGUUUUGCACGUCACUUGGGUAGAAUCGUCAGUAAUCCUGGAAUUACCCCGAUGAGGGUAAAGGAAUGGUCCAAUAUUACUAACGCGACUCGGAAACAUAUAUUUGAGGCAAUUAAGGUAUGUUUGGUUCAAAGUUCUAGCAAUAUAACCUGAAUUUCUACACUGUUGUAUUUAUGUUACUCUGUUUUAUGAACAACUAUCUAGGACAAGUUUGAAAACAUUGACGAGAACAUUGCAAUUGAUGUGUACAAAGAUGAGAUAUUAGACCAUGUCAAGAAACUUUGGAUCAACUGGCGUGGAGACUUGCACCGCCAUUUUGUGAAACCCAACAAUACUAUGCAGGAGGCUGUGAAAAACGUACCUAAAGAUAUUCCAAAGGAUGAUUGGGAAUGGCUUGUCAAGGAGCAUUUCUUCAGCAAGGAGUUUUUGGUAAGUUCUCAUGUUGCCUCUUAAUUUUGAACCUUUUGUGAAGUUGACAAUAUAAUCUUGUUUAAUUACAGAAGAAGAGCAAGAGAAAUACCCAAAAUAGAGCUAACCUCAAAAUGCUUCAUGGAUCUGGCAGUAAACCCUUUAGACAAAUAAUUUGGGACAUGGUACAUACUUUAACUUUUCUUGUUUUUCAUUCCCAAUAAUAUAAGAUUAGUCUGACUUGUCUUGCCUUUUUUAUUUCAACUAAUAUGGUCACUUGCAUAUGUUGGAACAGGGAGGCAAGGAAAACAAGCCACCGAGUAUGGAUAAACUUUUUUCGGAGACACAUAAGAAGGGUACAUCCUUUGUUGAUUCUACAACAUCCACCAAACAUGUAAGACUUAAUUUAACCAUAAUAACUUACAUAAUGAACAACAAGUGUAAAAUUCCUACUUAGAUAUAUAAGUUGAUGCAAAUAACUUACCGUUGGCACUUCAGGCACAAAUUAAGACCAUAGUUCAGUUGAAUCCUGGUCUUUCAAAUGAUGAAGUUAUGCAGAAAUGUGAUACAUCUAAGUGGCGUGAUCAUGUAGUUGAAUUUGGAGGUGGAAUUAGAGCAAGAGAUUUGCGAGGACCAGCAUUGAGUAAGGCAGAAUUGGUUUAUCAACUUCAAGCUUCACAGCAAGAGAAACAAGUACUCGAAGAAAAGGUGAAUGGCAUGGUGCAAGAAGUAUCAGAAAUUAAGCGUCUUUUGGCUGGUAGAUCUCCAAGUGAUAGUUCUGAUCCUGAACGCAAAGAUGAUCAAGUAAGCUGUUUUCAUACAUCGAAUUUACAUGUCAUUAAACUUCGAGACCACUUAUUUACUUGGACUGACUUUCAUAAACUACUCACAUUUUGUAAGAAUGAUGGUUCAUCGUAAUAUAUAGAAGCAUAAUGUGGCAUUGCAAUCUCGAUGAUAUCCAUUCAAAGAACGGUGGUGUCCUUCGAUUGAAGAUUAAUAAAUGUUAUCUUUCCUAGUUGUCUUUUUCUUAGAUAUAUAUGAUCAAAUACAUUGGUGAUACAAUGAGGAGGGCUUUCGACUCAAUUUUCUACAUGAGAUUUUAAUGUCAGAAUAUUGGUAUUUAUAUUAAUAAAAGAUGAUAUGGUCCUUUUGAUUUAGAAUCUUUUGUUUCUGUAUUAAUGUGGAUGCUAAUAUUGGAAUGUUGGUUGCUGCAUAAAGUGAUUGUUCAAUGUAAUGUUAUACUAAAUAUAACUGGUUUGGAAGGACACCAAAGUGUGAAGAGAGUGGUCGUUAAUGAUACUUUCGCUAGCAUGAUAACAUUAUUAACAAUGACAAACGUGGUCGUUAAUACUACAAUUGUGGUCGUUAUUGCCUUGGGAUCAACGACGACACACGUGCCGUCGUUAGAAGAAUAACGACCACAAAAGGUAUGUGGUCGUUAUACUUUUAACGACGGAGCCUGCUACGACCAGCAGAUUGUGGUCGUUAAUGACCUUUAACGACCACAAUCUGACUUUUAACGACCAUAUACACCGUCGUUAAAAACAAUUUUCCUAGUAGUGCAAUCAUGUCCCUAGACAGCAACCCUUCUCUCUCUCCCAAAAAUAUACUCCUUGAACUGAAACCACAGUAUUCAUAUCCGAACACAGGAUUGCCAUCGCUUGGGGACAUCCCGUGAGGGAAUUUAUUUGAUCUGUAGUGUAGGCGCGCCAGUUUAUCCUUCCGAAAAUAAAAGGGACUGCAGGCAAAUAUGAGUUGUUGUGAUUGCCAUGAGAUUCAUCAAGUUGAGUCGGCCAGUAUAAAUUUUAAUUGGUAGACGAACCUCGUCCUAACGCGUGGGACAACGGCAUGAUGCCCGACGGCCAGGUCCAUCCUGGACUUGAAAUUCACACAAACCAUAGCCUGUCACAUGCAUUGGACACUUGAAUUCGAUUAGUAUUUGCAAACCUAUGAUUAUCGGUAGGGCCACUAUCAACCGUUUCAGAAACAGCUAUAUAUUUGUGGAUGGAUUUAGUUGAACCGCUCAUGCCUACUCAAAACAAUCAGAGUAUUGCUCACCAAAGGCUGCAAAAGACAAAUAUAAUUGCUUGCCAC
rnacentral:lncRNA from 1 species